rnacentral:misc_RNA from 1 species
AGUUAGUUUCCCUUUAAUUCGGUUGUCUUGCCAGCAUUGCUUAAUUAAGAAGCUUAUGUCGUUUUUAUAAAUGUAAUCCAUAUAAUAAUGCAUUAUGAAUUCAUAUUUACCUUUUUGGUGACUAGGUUGAUAUGUGUUUAAAUAGCAUUUGAGUUUGUUGUUUUUGAACAUUGAAUCUGAGUAAGCUUCAUAGGUUUGACCUUACAUUUGCCUUUUUUCAGGAACUUCAAUUGGAUGAGUUU